rnacentral:rRNA from 1 species
UACAGAGGUCCCAAGCGUUGUUCGGAUUCACUGGGCGUAAAGGGUGCGUAGGCGGUCGGGUAAGUCUGACGUGAAAUCUUCAAGCUCAACUUGGAAACUGCGUCCGAUACUAUUCGGCUAGAGGAAUGGAGGGGAGACUGGAAUACUUGGUGUAGCAGUGAAAUGCGUAGAUAUCAAGUGGAACACCAGUGGCGAAGGCGAGUCUCUGGACAGUUCCUGACGCUGAGGCACGAAGGCCAGGGGAGCAAACGGG